GUGCCACCAGCCGCGGUAAUACGGGGGGGGCAAGCGUUAUCCGGAUUUACUGGGUGUAAAGGGAGCGUAGACGGCCAUUCAAGCCAGAUGUGAAAGCCCGGGGCUCACCCCCGGGACUGCAUUUGGAACUGUGUGGCUAGAGUGUCGGAGAGGCAGGCGGAAUUCCUAGUGUAGCGGUAAAAUGCGUAAAUAUUAGGAGGAACACCAGUGGCGAAGGCGGCCUGCUGGACGAUGACUGACGUUGAGGCUCGAAAGCGUGGGGAGUAAACAGGAUUAAAUACCCUGGUACUCCACGCCGUAAACGAUGACUACUAGGUGUCGGGUGGCAAAGCCAUUCGGUGCCGCAGCAAACGCAAUAAGUACUCCACCUGGGGAGUACGUUCGCAAGAAUGAAACUCAAAGGAAUUGACGGGGACCCGCACAAGCGGUGGAGCAUGUGGUUUAAUUCUAAGCAACGCGAAGAACCUUACCUGAUCUUGACCUCCCCCUGACAGCUCUGUAAUGGGAGCCUUCCUUCGGGACAGGAGAGACAGGUGGUGCAUGGUUGUCGUCAGCUCGUGUCGUGAGAUGUUGGGUUAACUCCCGCAACGAGCGCAACCCCUUAUCUUUUAGUAGCCAGCAUUUAUGGGAUGGGGCCCUCUAGAGAGACUGCCAGGGAUAAGCUGGAGGAAGGGUGGGGGAUGACGUCAAUCGUCCUGCCCUCUUAUGACGAGGGCUAC
rnacentral:rRNA from 1 species